rnacentral:rRNA from 1 species
GACGAACGCUGGCGGCGUGCCUAACACAUGCAAGUCGAGCGAGAAACUUCGGUUUCUAGCGGCGGACGGGUGAGUAACACGUGGGUAACCUGCCUCAUAGAGGGGGAUAGCCUCCCGAAAGGGAGAUUAAUACCGCAUAAGAAGUAAUCUUCGCAUGAAGAUAGCUUUAAAGGAGAAAUCCGCUAUGAGAUGGACCCGCGGCGCAUUAGCUAGUUGGUGAGGUAACGGCUCACCAAGGCGACGAUGCGUAGCCGGCCUGAGAGGGCGAACGGCCACAUUGGAACUGAGAGACGGUCCAGACUCCUACGGGAGGCAGCAGUGGGGAAUAUUGCACAAUGGGGGAAACCCUGAUGCAGCAACGCCGCGUGAAGGAAGAAGGCCUUUGGGUUGUAAACUUCUGUUAAUGGGGACGAUAAUGACGGUACCCAUAGAGGAAGCCACGGCUAACUACGUGCCAGCCGCCGCGGUAACAC